UCAUUGAUAUAUAUUUAGCUAAUAUUUGAGCCUGAUUCGCAGCUGUCCCUGGUUUCUGAAGUGAAAAAACCUGCAAAACUGCCAUCUAAGGUGCAACCAAUUUCCUAGGUUCAGCUAUCUCAGCACUCAUAUAACAACUUAAGAUUCUUUUGAGUGGGUAGAGGCAUGGUGAUUCCUAUUGUUAUAUUGCAGGGCUUGAAGGAGCCUGGAUCCUUGCACCAAGAAUACGAGUACAAGAAACCGGCCAAAGAAGCAACGUGUGGAAAGCAGUAUCGAUGCGUCCUCAUAACGCAGCAGGCCUAUAUGGUGGAACUCGGACAUUAGAUGAAAAUGUGCUGUUGGUUCUCCUGAUUGAUGCUUAAAUUCUCUUGAAACAUUUGCUAACGUUACAAAAAUUUAUAUCCCCUCUAUGAUGGAAACUUCAAUUGUAAGUAAUAUUGGAAGAACAAUUCCAGUGGGGCCCUUAUUUGCUAU